UUGUUGAGCUCGAGUCGGCUUCACGGUUGAGGACCGCACAGUUCUUAAUUACACAGAGGCCAUGGCUUGAUCUCUAUGGAGUUAAUAUCAGGCCUGUUGCUCCAUUUGGGAGUGCAAGUAAUAAACCAUUUGCACCGGUCCUUGCCCGAGGAGCUACUUUUUGAGGUAUUUCUAUAUUUUUAAUCUCAUUUUACUUAGUCAUUGUACUAUUACAACGAGAUAACAAACUCGGAUGAGUUGCUA